rnacentral:rRNA from 1 species
GAUGAACGCUGGCGGCGUGCCUAAUACAUGCAAGUCGAGCGAACAGACGAGGAGCUUGCUCCUCUGACGUUAGCGGCGGACGGGUGAGUAACACGUGGAUAACCUACCUAUAAUACUUGGAUAACUUCGGGAAACCGGAUCUAAUACCGGAUAAUAUAUUUAACCGCAUGGUUCAUUAGUUUAUUUCGUUUUUUCUGUCUCUUUUAGUUGUUUCCUCGCCGCAUUAGCUAGUUGGUAAGGUAACGGCUUACCAAGGCAACGAUGCUUAGCCGACCUGAGAGGGUGAUCGGCCACACUGGAACUGAGAAACGGUCCAGACUCCUACGGGAGGCAGCAGUAGGGAAUCUUCCGCAAUGGGCGAAAGCAUGACGGAGCAACGCCGCGUGAGUGAUGAAGGUCUUCGGAUCGUAAAACUCUGUUAUUAGGGAAGAAAAAAUGUGUAAGUAAAUAUGCACGUAUUGACGGUAACUAAUCAGAAAGCCACGGCUAACUACGUG